rnacentral:misc_RNA from 1 species
AAGUCGUAACAAGGUUUCCGUAGGUGAACCUGCGGAAGGAUCAUUAGCACUUGUUGUGGUGGGCUAUCUAAGCGGUAUCUCACCCGUAAACACCUGUGAGCACUGAAAUGAUUUGUGAAUGGAGGAGUGGAGACGGCUUAGGCCUUCGGCCUGCGCUGGUUGAAGCUUGUUCCUUUUUUACUUUUUUAAACCCCAACAACCUAUCUUUAACAAUUACAAAGACUGAACUGUCUCCUGCCACAAACAAGAGACAACCUUGAUAUUCUAACCAAAGAAACAAUUCUUAGCAACGGAUAUCUUGGUUCCC